rnacentral:rRNA from 1 species
GACGAACGCUGGCGGCGUGCUUAACACAUGCAAGUCGAACGAAGUGGCGAACGGGUGAGUAAUACGUGGGUAACCUGCCCACCUUUUUGGGAUAAGCCUUGGAAACGGGGUCUAAUACCGAAUUAAGGGGGAUGGGCUCGCGGCCUAAUAGCUUGUUGGUGGGGUGAUGGCCUAACAAGGCGGUGACGGGUUGCCGGACUGAGAGGUUGACCGGCAACAAUGGGACUGGGAAACGGCCCAGACUCCUACGGGAGGGAGCAGUGGGGGAUAUUGGACAAGGGUCGAAAGACUGAUGCAGCGACUCCGCGUAGGGGAUGAGGGCUUUCGGGUUGUAAAACUCUUUCGCUAUCGAAGGGGUAGGUGGAGAAGAAGCGCCGGCUAACUACGUGCCAGCAGCGGCGGUAAUAC